UGACCGCGUUAACCUUGCUGCUAUCUAUGACGCAACACCACGUUCUAGAACGCCAUUCUUUCAUCACAAGGAACAGAGCCUAGCUACGCUUUCUUAGUGCUUCAUGCCCUGAGAUACACACAGGACAUUGCUGUGGAUGGAGGUAACAUCACUGAGGAUAAUGAUGAGAUAUUAGUGGCGUGGAGAGGGCAACCUUGAAGCGACAGCUGCCGACAUGCAGCGGUACUGCACAGUGCUGGUUCGGAGAAUCAGUACCAGCGCCGCCCACAGAGCCCAACAGAAAACCAAGUCUUUCCACAAGUUACCCCGGGGCGCGGCUAUGUUACAGGACUCACGGUAUUACAAGGGCAUGGCGUUUACAUUAGAAGAGAGACAACACCUGGGUAUCCAUGGGUUACUGCCACUGUC